rnacentral:rRNA from 1 species
GUGAGGAAUAUUGCGCAAUGGAGGCAACUCUGACGCAGCCAUGCCGCGUGCAGGAAGAAGGCGCUACGCGUUGUAAACUGCUUUUAACCGGGAAGAAACCCCAGGACGUGUCCUGGGUUGACGGUACCGGAGGAAUAAGCACCGGCUAACUUCGUGCCAGCAGCCGCGGUAAUACGAAGGGUGCAAGCGUUAUCCGGAUUCAUUGGGUUUAAAGGGUGCGUAGGCGGAGCGUUAAGUCAGUGGUGAAAUCCUGCAGCUUAACUGUAGACUUGCCAUUGAUACUGGCGCUCUUGAGUGCGCUUGAAGUGGGCGGAAUGUGCCGUGUAGCGGUGAAAUGCUUAGAUAUGGCACAGAACACCAAUUGCGAAGGCAGCUCACUAAGGCGAUACUGACGCUGAGGCACGAAAGCGUGGGGAUCGAACAGGAUUAGAAACCCUAGUAGUCC